rnacentral:rRNA from 1 species
AUGCAUGAGUAUACCAGCGACGCCAAAGAUCCUCAACGGUUUAAUGAAAUAGAAAUGACUGAUGAUGAAGUCACUGAAUGUGUGAAGAAGAUGCUUGACGAACCGAUCGCCGCAUGCAGCCAAACUGGGUUGCUCCCUUUUUAUGCCUCCAACAAACCGUCAGCAGCCAAAGAUUCCUUCUGGAAGAGGAAAACUCAAGAUAAACCGGCGAGGGCUCCUCGUGCCAAAAGCAAGGUCACAAAGAAACCAGCCAAGAGGAAAACCGCCGAGUCCGCUGAUCCGCCCGAAGAUAUCGAAGAAUCGGAUCAAGAGGAUGAUGCGGAAGCCAGCCGCACUGAUCAUGUUGAGACACAGCAACAUGAAGGUCGUCGCACAACCCGACACAGUGGCCAACAAGUCACUUCCUCCGGUUUACCAGACACUCCACCUCGAAAACGUCGUCCAGAGGUAACUUCUAUCUCUUCAUCUGGCGACUCAUCAACCACGCAAUUGCCUCCCCUCAAGACCGUCGCUGGUGCCAAGGCCCGACUGAGUAAGAAAGCCAAGACCAGUGGCCCCACUGAUGAAGCUGAACCGGAGAAGACCCCAGAAGAUACUGGUAGAGACAUUGAGGUUGUCAUGGAUGACUCUGCCCCACAAGAUCCAGCCACUGAUGCUAAUCCGCCGGAAGCUGGCCCGGCAACGCAUGUUGAUCCAUCAAGCCCGCAUGCUACGCCUCCAAGCCCAGCUGCUGAUCCGCCGAGCCCAGCCAGGGAUACCGUCAAUCCGCCAAGUUCGUCAAAAGGUGGCGAUGAUGUUAUUAUCACUGGUACAGGUCACACCAGCCCUGGCAAUCCGGUUGUCCUGGCAAAGCAUACCGCCAAGGAAGAAUUUGUUGCUAUGGGCAAGGGGAAAGAGAAGACAGAUUUAUCCAGCUAUGUCAACUUUACUGCCGAAGAACUUCAUUCCAGCUUCUUACAUCGCCUCUACACAAGCCGAGAUUAUGAGGCCGGCUUGGUGAACAUGAUGAAAGAGCGCUAUGAGGCCAAUAUAAACAACAAAGACUCCAAAAUUGCCGAUCUUCAAGAGAAUAUCAAGUCCCAGCAAUCAGAGACUUCCAAGGCCAAGGAUGAGUUGAAAAACGCUUUAACAGCCAUGGAACAACUUAAGGAAGGGUUCAAGAAUGAACGUGCUAGCUGGGAAACUGAAAAGACUGCGUUAUUGAAGUGGGCUGAAGACGCUGAGUCAGCUCUUAAACCGGUGAAGGAAGAGCUAACUGGGUUGAAGCGCCAAGUAGCCGUGUUGCUCAUCUGGGCGCUGACAUGUGGAUGA